rnacentral:rRNA from 1 species
AACGAACGCUGGCGGCAUGCCUAACACAUGCAAGUCGAACGAUGGUCUUCGGAUCAUAGUGGCGCACGGGUGCGUAACGCGUGGGAAUCUGCCCUUGGGUUCGGAAUAACAGUUUGAAACGACUGCUAAUACCGGAUGAUGUCGAUAAGACCAAAGAUUUAUUGCCCGAGGAUGAGCCCGCGUCGGAUUAGCUAGUUGGUGGGGUAAAGGCCUACCAAGGCGACGAUCCGUAGCUGGUCUGAGAGGAUGAUCAGCCACACUGGGACUGAGACACGGCCCAGACUCCUACGGGAGGCAGCAGUGGGGAAUAUUGGACAAUGGGCGCAAGCCUGAUCCAGCAAUGCCGCGUGAGUGAUGAAGGCCUUAGGGUUGUAAAGCUCUUUUACCCGGGAAGAUAAUGACUGUACCGGGAGAAUAAGCCCCGGCUAACUCCGUG